rnacentral:tRNA from 1 species
GCUCUCGUGGCUCAGUUGGUUAGAGCGCUCCCUUAGCAAGCGGAGGUCUUGAGUUUGACUCUUGAUGAAAGCA